rnacentral:rRNA from 1 species
UACGUAGGGUGCAAGCGUUAAUCGGAAUUACUGGGCGUAAAGCGUGCGCAGGCGGUGAUGUAAGACAGAUGUGAAAUCCCCGGGCUCAACCUGGGAACUGCAUUUGUGACUGCAUCGCUAGAGUACGGCAGAGGGGGAUGGAAUUCCACGUGUAGCAGUGAAAUGCGUAGAGAUGUGGAGGAAUACCGAUGGCGAGGGCAGCCUCCUGGGCCAACACUGACGCUCAUGCACGAAAGCGUGGGGAGCAAACAGG